UAAGCACAGUAAAAGACAGAAGAUUUCACAAGCCCUGCUGCUCAACUCUUUUUUCAUGUUGCUUCAUCUUAGAGAGAAGGAUGCUCCUUUCCUUUGAGUAUAGAGGGCACCUCUCACAUGAAAGUCUUAGGACCUGCUUCAGGGGACAAUAGCAAGGGAAUGGAUGAGCUCCCACAACCAUGGUGGCAAACUUCGGCUGAGAUGAUGUUGAAAGCAAUAGAAAGGAGUGUGUCUCUUCCCUUCUAG
rnacentral:lncRNA from 1 species